CUUCUCAUCGAGAGAUUAGAUGGAUGGAAAAUUGAUUGCAAGAAACGGGCAACUGGGAAAGUGCUUGAUAUGUAUUAUACACAUGAGAUUUCCAAGAAGUCAUUCCGAUCAGUUAAGGAAGUAAUGAAUUUUAUAUUAUAUGAAGUUGAUCCAAGGAAAAGGUAGGAGGAAAAUAAAUGCAAUCCAAAUGAAUAUCCAUUGGUACAUAGACAAUAUUUCUUUGGCAAUUU